CUGUCAGAUAGGACACUACGUGCUUUCUGAUGGUGUCAAGUCCAGUUACUUUGAAAUUGCUAAAGGUGUCCUGCCGGGGGUUGAUUUUGGGACCUGUCCUCUUCACUAUUUAUAUAAAUAAUAUUGGUCUAUAAGCAAAAACCUGUAACAUUCAUUUGUGUGCAGAUGACACUGUUAUGUAAGCUUUUGCCUCUACGGCUGACCAGGCUGUUGGAGCUGCAGUCGGAUUUUGUCACCUAGCAGAAAGUCCUUGUUGACUUAGAAUGGUACUUCAUGCAGUAAAAACUAAAUGAUGUUUUCUAAUUUUCAUUGAAAUACUUCAGAUGCAGUCUACCGUGGCAUCCUUCACUUUAUCACAGGUGACACCAUUCAUGGGAGUGUAGCAGCCACUAAUCUGAAACCAUUGGAUGCAGUCAGUCUACCGUGGCAUCCUUCACUUUAUCACAGGUGACACCAUUCAUGGGAGUGUAGCAGCCACUAAUCUGAAACCAUUGGAUGCAGUCAGUCUACCGUGGCAUCCUUCACUUUAUCACAGGUGACACCAUUCAUGGGAGUGUAGCAGCCACUAAUCUGAAACCAUUGGAUGCAGUCAGUCUACCGUGGCAUCCUUCACUUUAUCACAGGUGACACCAUUCAUGGGAGUGUAGCAGCCACUAAUCUGAAACCAUUGGAUGUCGUCAGUCUACCGUGGCAUCCUUCACUUUAUCACAGGUGACACCAUUCAUGGGAGUGUAGCAGCCACUAAUCUGAAACCAUUGGAUGCAGUCAGUCUACCGUGGCAUCCUUCACUUUAUCACAGGUGACACCAUUCAUGGGAGUGUAGCAGCCACUAAUCUGAAACCAUUGGAUGUCGUCAGUCUACCGUGGCAUCCUUCACUUUAUCACAGGUGACACCAUUCAUGGGAGUGUAGCAGCCACUAAUCUGAAACCAUUGGAUGCAGUCAGUCUACCGUGGCAUCCUUCACUUUAUCACAGGUGACACCAUUCAUGGGAGUGUAGCAGCCACUAAUCUGAAACCAUUGGAUGUCGUCAGUCUACCGUGGCAUCCUUCACUUUAUCACAGGUGACACCAUUCAUGGGAGUGUAGCAGCCACUAAUCUGAAACCAUUGGAUGACGUCAGUCUACCGUAGCAUCCUUCACUUUAUCACAGGUGACACCAUUCAUGGGAGUGUAGCAGCCACUAAUCUUAAACCAUUGGAUGCAGUCAGUCUACCGUGGCAUCCUUCACUUUAUCACAGGUGACACCAUUCAUGGGAGUGUAGCAGCCACUAAUCUUAAACCAUUGGAUGCCGUCAGUCUACCGUGGCAUCCUUCACUUUAUCACAGGUGACACCAUUCAUGGGAGUGUAGCAGCCACUAAUCUGAAACCAUUGGAUGCAGUCAGUCUACCGUGGCAUCCUUCACUUUAUCACAGGUGACACCAUUCAUGGGAGUGUAGCAGCCACUAAUCUGAAACCAUUGGAUGCAGUCAGUCUACCGUGGCAUCCUUCACUUUAUCACAGGUGACACCAUUCAUGGGAGUGUAGCAGCCACUAAUCUGAAACCAUUGGAUGCAGUCAGUCUACCGUGGCAUCCUUCACUUUAUCACAGGUGACACCAUUCAUGGGAGUGUAGCAGCCACUAAUCUGAAACCAUUGGAUGCAGUCAGUCUACCGUGGCAUCCUUCACUUUAUCACAGGUGACACCAUUCAUGGGAGUGUAGCAGCCACUAAUCUGAAACCAUUGGAUGCAGUCAGUCUACCGUGGCAUCCUUCACUUUAUCACAGGUGACACCAUUCAUGGGAGUGUAGCAGCCACUAAUCUGAAACCAUUGGAUGCAGUCAGUCUACCGUGGCAUCCUUCACUUUAUCACAGGUGACAGUUUUAAUAUGAAUCACUGCAUCCUGUAUCAGAAGGUUGGCUGCUCCUCCUUGAAGUCCUGUACAUCACUUCAUUACUCUCUUUCUGUUGACAAAGCUCUACUAUACAAGCUUCCCACUGACCAACUUCGUUGUUAAUGUAUAAAAACAUGAUUCCAAACCCGUUCACAGGAUUGGUGAACUGUUGAGAUUCCUCUGCCGAACGAGGCAAAUCCACUUUUAGUUUUAAUGAUCAACAUUUUUGGAAUCACUCACAAAAUUCAUUACAUUUGGAUUCCCUGGUGCCACUAGUCAUUUUAAAACCCUGAUGAUAAAGAGUUCACCAAGGUGUGCAAUUGUUUUGAUUGACAAAUAAUUUGUUUAUGAUGCCUGUGAUGUUCUAACAUAAUGUACUGGUUAUUCUAUAUUUUAUUUGAUGUCAGAGCACCACUACAAAUGAGACCGUGGUCUCAAUGGGGCUCUCAUGAUUAAAUACAAGUGAAUAAUGAUAAUGAGCAGCACAAGGAGCAGAGAGCAGAGUAAUGGAGGGCUGCUCACCGACCACUCUAUUAGCCCUGGAUCAAUCCACUCACACACACUGUAAAUCACACACACCUCAGCUGGCGUGAGUGUGUGUCCGUGUGUCUGGUAGGGGGCCAGCUAGAGGGGCCAACUUCCCAGAGACCCAACCAACCGCUCCCCUCUGGGGCCACCUGCGCAGAGACCUCCAUGGCCCCCUCUGAUCCCUCAUCCCCCUGACGGACCACCAGGACCAGGGUGUGGACCCCCCCCACAUUAGGACCAGGGUGUGGACCCCCCCCACAUUAGGACCAGGGUGUGGACCCCAAUUAGGACCAGGGUGUCUCCUGGAGAGGAGAGAGGGCUAAACCAUCCACACAGGUGGUCCACAGGUGGUCCACAGCGGUGGUCUGUCUGUCUGUCUUUUGGGUGUAUUGGUUUUGUUAAAGUCACCUGAUGCUGUGACAAAGACAACACCCUCCCUCCUCGAGCCAGUGACUGGCAAGCAGGUACAGGAAGAAAACUUUAAAUCACUGAACACAAGUGAACAAAGUGACUCAAUUAGUUGUGGCUUUUAACAAACUCACUGACAGGCCUGUAAAAGGUAGUAAGGUGAGACUGAAAACAUCCCAGCAGCAUCAGUAAGAGGCAGACAUGACGUAACGGCCCAAUUCUAGUUAGGCCAGAUAGUUAGAGACCCCUCACUAUGUCCAGACUGCAGACUCCAGACUGCAUGGGCCUGCCAACCACAGGACGGACGGUGAUCACAAUCAUCA